rnacentral:rRNA from 1 species
GAGUUUGCUUUUGGCUCAGGACGAACGCUGGCGGCGUGCCUAACACAUGCAAGUCGAACGGAGUUAAGUGCUUCGGUAUUUAACUUAGUGGCGAACGGGUGAGUAACGCGUGAGGAACCUGCCUUUCAGUGGGGGACAACAGUUGGAAACGACUGCUAAUACCGCAUGAUACUUUUUGGAGGCAUCUCUGAAAAGUCAAAGCUUUAUGUGCUGAAAGAUGGUCUCGCGUCUGAUUAGAUAGUAGGCGGGGUAACGGCCCACCUAGUCUUCGAUGGAUAGGGGUUCUGAGAGGAAGGUCCCCCACAUUGGAACUGAGACACGGUCCAAACUCCUACGGGAGGCAGCAGUGAGGAAUAUUGGUCAAUGGACGAGAGUCUGAACCAGCCAAGUAGCGUGAAGGAUGAAGGUUCUAUGGAUUGUAAACUUCUUUUAUACGGGAAUAAACGGAUCCACGUGUGGAUUUUUGCAUGUACCGUAUGAAUAAGGAUCGGCUAACUCCGUGCCAGCAGCCGCGGUAAUACGGAGGAUCCGAGCGUUAUCCGGAUUUAUUGGGUUUAAAGGGAGCGUAGAUGGGUUGUUAAGUCAGUUGUGAAAGUUUGCGGCUCAACCGUAAAAUUGCAAUUGAUACUGGCAGUCUUGAGUACAGUUGAGGUAGGCGGAAUUCGUGGUGUAGCGGUGAAAUGCUUAGAUAUCACGAAGAACUCCGAUUGCGAAGGCAGCUUACUAACCUGUAACUGACAUUGAUGCUCGAAAGUGUGGGUAUCAAACAGGAUUAGAUACCCUGGUAGUCCACACGGUAAACGAUGAAUACUCGCUGUUUGCGAUAUACAGCAAGCGGCCAAGCGAAAGCGUUAAGUAUUCCACCUGGGGAGUACGCCGGCAACGGUGAAACUCAAAGGAAUUGACGGGGGCCCGCACAAGCGGAGGAACAUGUGGUUUAAUUCGAUGAUACGCGAGGAACCUUACCCGGGCUUAAAUUGCAGAUGAAUUACGGUGAAAGCCGUAAGCCGCAAGGCAUCUGUGAAGGUGCUGCAUGGUUGUCGUCAGCUCGUGCCGUGAGGUGUCGGCUUAAGUGCCAUAACGAGCGCAACCCUUGUUGUCAGUUACUAACAGGUUCCGCUGAGGACUCUGACAAGACUGCCAUCGUAAGAUGUGAGGAAGGUGGGGAUGACGUCAAAUCAGCACGGCCCUUACGUCCAGGGCUACACACGUGUUACAAUGGGGGGUACAGAGGGCCGCUACCACG